GUUUUAUUGAAAACGAAUGUGUUUCUGAAGGUCACACUGAACAGCAGAUUGUUGUCUCAAGCCAGUGCUGAUCAAUGACAGUUUAGCUGCAGUCUGUCAGAGAAGAGAGGAAAGAUGAGUCUCUCACAGAAACAGAGAACUUCAGAGCUUCCUAAUUAAAAAUUAUAUUUAUAUCUUAAA